CAAUAGCCGAUGAGCGCAACAGGGAAGUAGCAGAGUGCCACCACAAUAUAGGCGACGAUAACUCCCUUCCACAUAGGUUUCUUGGAUGGCUGCUCUGGUGUCGAUGGGAUGGUGGCCUGGAUCUCUAGAACAACAUUGUGCCCAGCGUAUGCGAAUGCCACGUCGCCCAAUGCGCCGAAGAAGCCAAACACCUUCCCCGGCGUCGUUGUUGCGCGCACGUGGUAGUCCACGUCUGGAAGCUUGCCCUUGUCCACCGAUGCACCCCAAGCGAUUGUGGAGUAACUGCCAUGAGUGACCAUGUCAGUGAUCAAUCGGGUUAUACAUGGGUUUUCAGAAAGUUACUGAAUUUUCUACAGUGCAGUGGAGUUCCUGAGGCAACGACAGAGUGAAGUGGUACCUGAGCGACAUGACGGCAGCGGCAAGGGAGACACCAGAGAUGGAAUUAAAGUUGGGGAGCUGGGAGAGCACAAAGUGGACAGAGGCAAAGAUCAUGAUGAAGUAGGUGGUCUUGAUGUCUUUGCAUUUGCCGUCGCAGAUCACAUCGUGGAAUUUCUUCAGUGAUUUGCCUCCGGUGACCAUGUACACAAUGUUGACGCCCACCUCAACGAUGAGCUGCUGCGGCACAACAAUCCACAGCCCCAGCUUCUCGCCGAAUGCAUGCUGACCAAGCUCAUGGUACCGGUCGAACCGCUUGCCCGGCACCAUCUCAUGCAUCUCCACCAUUUGCCAAAGCGUGUACAGAGUAAUGACCCAUGAUAUGAUCAGCACUGCAAUGCCAGGGCCCCUGCAAAUUGUCAAGUUGAUACAUUAAGAGGAGAAGUCUUUUUGAUUAAAUCAAGAAGAUUACUGAAUUCAUCAGCAAAUAACUGAUUGUGACUGCAAUGGCAGCAAGAUGGCACACACGUAUGACGUACCAGCCAAGCUCAGACAUGGCAUACGGAAGGCUGAGCACGCCAGCGCCAACC
rnacentral:lncRNA from 1 species